CCUACGGGUGGCAUCAGUGGGGAAUAUUGGACAAUGGGGGCAACCCUGAUCCAGCCAUGCCGCGUGUGUGAAGAAGGCCCUCGGGUUGUAAAGCACUUUCAGUGAGGAAGAACGCCUGGUGGUUAAUACCCAUCAGGAAAGACAUCACUCACAGAAGAAGCACCGGCUAACUCCGUGCCAGCAGCCGCGGUAAUACGGAGGGUGCGAGCGUUAAUCGGAAUUACUGGGCGUAAAGCGCGCGUAGGUGGCUUGAUAAGCCGGUUGUGAAAGCCCCGGGCUCAACCUGGGAACGGCAUCCGGAACUGUCAAGCUAGAGUGCAGGAGAGGAAGGUAGAAUUCCCGGUGUAGCGGUGAAAUGCGUAGAGAUCGGGAGGAAUACCAGUGGCGAAGGCGGCCUUCUGGACUGACACUGACACUGAGGUGCGAAAGCGUGGGUAGCAAACAGGAUUAGAUACCCCGGUAGUC
rnacentral:rRNA from 1 species